rnacentral:rRNA from 1 species
GCGAACGCUGGCGGCAGGCCUCACACAUGCAAGUCGAACGAACUCUUCGGAGUUAGUGGCGGACGGGUGAGUAACACGUGGGAACGUGCCUUUAGGUUCGGAAUAACUCAGGGAAACUUGAGCUAAUACCGGAUGUGCCCUUCGGGGGAAAGAUUUAUCGCCUUUAGAGCGGCCCGCGUCUGAUUAGCUAGUUGGUGAGGUAAAGGCUCACCAAGGCGACGAUCAGUAGCUGGUCUGAGAGGAUGAUCAGCCACAUUGGGACUGAGACACGGCCCAAACUCCUACGGGAGGCAGCAGUGGGGAAUCUUGCGCAAUGGGCGAAAGCCUGACGCAGCCAUGCCGCGUGAAUGAUGAAGGUCUUAGGAUUGUAAAAUUCUUUCACCGGGGACGAUAAUGACGGUACCCGGAGAAGAAGCCCCGGCUAACUUCGUG